AAGUCGUAACAAGGUUUCCGUAGGUGAACCUGCGGAAGGAUCAUUAAAGAGACGUUGCCCUUCGGGGUAUACCUCCCACCCAUUGUUUAUUUACCUUUGUUGCUUUGGCAUGGUCCCGGCCUUCGGUCCCCGACCCGGCUCCCGGGCCUUGGCUCGAGGUGACUGUCGAAGAUACCAAAACUCUGUUUGUUAAUAUUGUCUGAGUACUAUAUAAUAGUUAAAA
rnacentral:misc_RNA from 1 species